rnacentral:rRNA from 1 species
AACGUAGGACACAAGCGUUAUCCGGAGUUACUGGGCGUAAAGGGCGUGUAGGCGGGCUGUUAAGUCGGUCAUGAAAACGCUUGGCUAAACUGAGCGAAGCUGGCUGAUACUGAUAGUCUGGAGUAUAGCAGAGGAGCAGGGAAUUCCGCGUGUAGUGGUGAAAUGCGUAGAGAUGCGGAGGAACACCAGUGGCGAAGGCGCUGCUCUGGGCUAAAACUGACGCUGAGGCGCGAAGGCAUGGGUAGCGAACGGG